rnacentral:lncRNA from 1 species
AUUUGCAUGUUUACAGCUCUCUCCCCUGUGUUCACUGCACAGCCCUCUAGUGAUCUUAAGCCCCUCUGGGAUGUGGAGGCUAGCUUCUUUUGCUCACUUGUGUCUUUCAGGUUACCAGCCUCAGGUCUGUCUGUUGGAGACCAGCUCAAAGUCCAGCCGAGGACUAAGGUGAAGUGAAACUGUUGUGGGGAGCCAGGCUAAACCACUGUCUCCUAUAUAGCUGACUAGCAAGGAGGCUCCCCAUCAACAAUGAAAGUGAAGAUUAGAACCUACUGGUUAUACCAUAUAUGCGUGGAAGGGACCAGGCCUCUUCAACUGGCUGAGGUUGGCAAAGGAAGAAAGCUGACUGGAGAAUCACUAAGCACUCUGCAGAUCUCCUCCACAGCUCAGACUUUCCCCGAUACCCUCUGGGAACCUGGCGAGGGAACCACUCUGCUUAUAGAUGUUUAAGUCAUUCUUGUGGAUGUGCCCAGAGUCCACAAAGAGAUUGGCGGCAUCUGACACAAGCAACAGCAAAGUUAACUCAGAGGUCAUUGUGUCUGCUGCCUCUGGCAGGAAUUUCUUAGGGCUUUUCUGGUGAUAUGACACCCCAGGUUAUGAGCGUCUUCGUAUCAAUGGUCACUUGUGACGAAGUACUAUCCUCUGGCUCCAGCCAUCAUCCAUCUCUGAGUAAUUCUCACCUACAGCUGAGGGGUCUGUCCUCUGGAACUACAGUGAUGUAGGUGCCUCUGCUCAGAGCCACCAGUGAUGACAGCUUUAUCCAAGAUGAAAUCCUCCACACUUGAGAGGUACGAUAGUGUGUAUUGCAUUAGGCAUCAGAAAGACUUAGCUUUAAACCUUACCUCAACAACUUAUUCACUCUGUGAUUGAGAAACUCAGCCUCUCUGAGCCACAGUAUAGCCAUCCAUAAAAUGAGUACACUUUUUUGGCAUUGUGAGGCUGUAACACAUAGAAAAACCAUUGCCAAUCAUAGGCACUCAAAACUAACUCAUGCUCUCUUCACAUGUCAAGAUUCAUUUAUUUUUCCCAACAUUUAUUUAGUGCUUAUUCUUUUACUUAUUUUUGCCAAGUACUUUGUUUGGUGCUGAGGACUGACUAGAGAGUGAAAUGUGGUGUCAUGAAUACCCCACCCACAUUCUCACCCAAGCUCACCACUGACUAGCCCGUCUGAGAUAGCAGGCUGACUUUGGAUCCCAGGAUCUUACUUCUUCUAGCCUUGUGCCUUCCUGAGUCUUUCUAAGCCCAUCAUCAACCUACCUCUGUACUUGGAUGUUGAGAGACAGUGUGGGGUGAGGUUUAUGGGGUUAUUAUCCCAGUUCCUUCCUGGUGCAGCUUGAGCAUGCUGCAAGAAGCCACCACACUUCAGUGGGCA